GACGAACGCUGGCGGCGUGCCUAAUACAUGCAAGUCGAACGCUUCUUUUUCCACCGGAGCUUGCUCCACCGGAAAAAGAGGAGUGGCGAACGGGUGAGUAACACGUGGGUAACCUGCCCAUCAGAAGGGGAUAACACUUGGAAACAGGUGCUAAUACCGUAUAACAAUCGAAACCGCAUGGUUUUGAUUUGAAAGGCGCUUUCGGGUGUCGCUGAUGGAUGGACCCGCGGUGCAUUAGCUAGUUGGUGAGGUAACGGCUCACCAAGGCGACGAUGCAUAGCCGAGUUGAGAGACUGAUCGGCCACAAUGGAACUGAGACACGGUCCAU
rnacentral:rRNA from 1 species